rnacentral:pre_miRNA from 1 species
UGAAGAAGCAUCCAAAGGGAUCGCAUUGAUCCCUUAUUCCUCCAUGGUGCAUGCCAUUAGUAAGGAUCAUGCGAUCCUUUAGGAUGCCUCCCC